GACGAACGCUGGCGGCGUGCCUAAUACAUGCAAGUUGAGCGCUGAAGGUUGGUACUUGUACCGACUGGAUGAGCAGCGAACGGGUGAGUAACGCGUGGGGAAUCUGCCUUUGAGCGGGGGACAACAUUUGGAAACGAAUGCUAAUACCGCAUAAAAACUUUAAACACAAGUUUUAAGUUUGAAAGAUGCAAUUGCAUCACUCAAAGAUGAUCCCGCGUUGUAUUAGCUAGUUGGUGAGGUAAAGGCUCACCAAGGCGAUGAUACAUAGCCGACCUGAGAGGGUGAGCGGCCACAUUGAGACGGAGACACGGCCCAAACGCCUACGGGAGGCAGCAGUAGGGAAUCUUCGGCAAUGGACGAAAGUCUGACCGAGCAACGCGGAGGGAGGGAAGAAGGUUGUCGGAUCGGAAAACUCGGUUGGUAGAGAAGAACGUUGGUGAGAGUGGAAAGCACAUCAAGUGACGGUAACGACUCAGAAAGGGACGGCUAACUACGUG
rnacentral:rRNA from 1 species